rnacentral:lncRNA from 1 species
UUAUCUAUAUCUGUUAAAACUUGUUUUUAUUUUAUUAUAUAUUGUGUAUGCACAUGUAAUAUAUAUAUAUAUAUAUAUAUAUAUAUAUGCUUAUACCUACAUUCAUUUUAUCAUCUGCUUACUUUUUUUUUUUUUUUUUUAAAUGUUAACUGCAGGUUUAGGAAAAAAUUGAAAAGGCGGAUCAAGUAUUCGUAUGUUAUUGAAGUGAUAUUAUAUGGAGCAGUAUUAUCAAUUUUUUUUGCGGGGAUAUUCGAAUAUUUUUUAUCACAUGUUUGUUAUUAUUUUUGUAGUAUAUGUUUUAUAAAUGAAAUUGAAGAAUCAUAUUUGUUCAUUUGUUCUAUAUUUACUUUUUUUUGUAAAAAAAAAAAAAAAAAAAAAAAAUUAAAAUAUAUGUUAUACACAUAUAUAUAUAUAUAUAAAUAUAUAUUAAAAAGCCUUUAUAAUUUUAUGUUAAAAGGUUAUUUUUUUUAAUAGAUACAUGAAAAAUACACGAAUGGAUGGGGAAAAUAAUAAAUAUAUCCAUUCGUACACGUGUGAUGUUUUGUGAAUUAAAAUGUAUAAACAUUCAUAAAAGAUAUAUAUUUCAUUUUGCAGACUUUUUUUUUGUGGUGGCAUAUGUUGAAGAAAUCUCAAAAAUUAUUCCAUUAAUUUUUGUUCAUAUAAAAAGAAAUAAACAAGAAUAUACCGAGUUACCAAUAGUUGAAAAUUGUCACUAUGUUAAUAAUAUUAUAUAUGAAGAAGAUAUAAAUGAAAGCACUAUAAAGAAAUUUAAAUAUAUUAUUGUAAAUGAUAAAUUAGAAUAUAUAUUUUUUUCUUUGUGUUCCUCUGCCGGGUUUUCCAGUACUGAAAAUUUAUUCUAUGCUACACAAAUAAAAAAACAAAAUUUCUUUUUUGUCUUAAUAUUAAGGUAAAAAUAAUUACAUAAUGAUAUAUUGAAAUUGUUCUUUUUAUUAUACCAACUAAACUAGUUACACCGCGCACAUAUACAUGUACAUAUAUAUAUAAUUAUAUGAUAUUUACGCAGAAACUUGAUAUGUGUAUUAUUCCACAUGUGCUGUACUGGAUUAUCAUCUUACAACAUAGUUAACAACAUAUAUUAUAAAAAAAAGAAACGUACGGAAGCCCCCAAAAAAAAAAAAAAAAAAAAAAAAAAAUCAACCUAUAUUUAUAGUGUCCUCACAUAUAUAUGAAUAUAUGUAUACACGAGCUCAAACAGUUUUGUAGUGAUUUUAUUUAAUUAUUAAUCAUAAAUAAAAAAAAUAAUUCUUUAUUAUUUUUUAUUUUU